rnacentral:rRNA from 1 species
UUCUACAGCCAUGCUGUCCUGAACACACCCAGUCUCAUCUGAUCUUGGAAGCUAAGCAGGGUCUGGCCUCGUUAGUACUUGGAUGGGAGGUCGCCUGGGAAUACUGGCUUUCUAAAUA